AGAGUUUGAUCCUGGCUCAGAACGAACGCUGGCGGCAGGCUUAACACAUGCAAGUUGAACGGGAUUGUUAAGUAGCUUGCUAUUUAACAAGAGAGUAGCGCACUGGUGAGUAACACGUGGGAACGUACCUUUUGGUGGGGGACAACAUCUGGAAACGGAUGCUAAUACCGCAUAAGACCUGAGGGUGAAAGAUUUAUCGCCGAAAGAACGGCCCGCGGAAGAUUAGGCAGUUGGUGGGGUAAAGGCCUACCAAACCUACGAUCUAUAGCUGGUCUGAGAGGACGAUCAGCCACACUGGAACUGAGACACGGUCCAGACUCCUACGGGAGGCAGCAGUGAGGAAUAUUGGGCAAUGGAGGCAACUCUGACCCAGCCAUGCCGCGUGAGUGAAGAAGGUUUUCGGAUUGUAAAGCUCUUUCGGAUGUGACGAUGAUGACGGUAGCAUCUAAAGAAGCCCCGGCUAACUUCGUGCCAGCAGCCGCGGUAAUACGAAGGGGGCGAGCGUUGUUCGGAAUUACUGGGCGUAAAGGGUGUGUAGGCGGUUAUGUAAGAUAGCGGUGAAAUCCCGGGGCUUAACCUCGGAAUAGCCGUUAUAACUAUGUAGCUAGAGUUAUGGAGAGGAUAGCGGAAUACCCAGUGUAGAGGUGAAAUUCGUAGAUAUUGGGUAGAACACCGGUGGCGAAGGCGGCUAUCUGGCCAUAUACUGACGCUGAGGCACGAAAGCAUGGGGAUCAAACAGGAUUAGAUACCCUGGUAGUCCAUGCUGUAAACGAUGAAUGCUGGUUGUCGGCUUUAGGGUCGGUGACGAAGUUAACGCGAUAAGCAUUCCGCCUGGGGAGUACGGUCGCAAGAUUAAAACUCAAAGGAAUUGACGGGGACCCGCACAAGCGGUGGAGCAUGUGGUUUAAUUCGA
rnacentral:rRNA from 2 species